rnacentral:rRNA from 1 species
GAUGAACGCUGGCGGCGUGCCUAAUACAUGCAAGUCGAGCGAACAGACGAGGAGCUUGCUCCUCUGACGUUAGCGGCGGACGGGUGAGUAACACGUGGAUAACCUACCUAUAAGACUGGGAUAACUUCGGGAAACCGGAGCUAAUACCGGAUAAUAUAUUGAACCGCAUGGUUCAAUAGUGAAAGACGGUUUUGCUGUCACUUAUAGAUGGAUCCGCGCCGCAUUAGCUAGUUGGUAAGGUAACGGCUUACCAAGGCAACGAUGCGUAGCCGACCUGAGAGGGUGAUCGGCCACACUGGAACUGAGACACGGUCCAGACUCCUACGGGAGGCAGCAGUAGGGAAUCUUCCGCAAUAGGCGAAAGCUUGACGGAGCAACGCCGCGUGAGUGAUGAAGGGCUUCGGAUCGUAAAACUCUGUUAUUAGGGAAGAACAAAUGUGUAAGUAACUAUGCACGUCUUGACGGUACCUAAUCAGAAAGCCACGGCUAACUACGUGC